GACGAACGCUGGCGGCGUGCUUAACACAUGCAAGUCGAGCGGUAAGGCCCUUUCGGGGGUACACGAGCGGCGAACGGGUGAGUAACACGUGGGUGACCUGCCCUCAGCUCUGGGAUAAGCCUGGGAAACCGGAUCUAAUACCGGAUAUGACUCCAUGACGCAUGCUGUGGGGUGGAAAGCCUUGUGCGGCUGAGGAUGGGCCCGCGGCCUAUCAGCUUGUUGGGGGGUGAUGGCCUACCAAGGCGACGACGGGUAGCCGGCCUGAGAGGGCGACCGGCCACACUGGGACUGAGACACGGCCCAGACUCCUACGGGAGGCAGCAGUGGGGAAUCUUGCGCAAUGGGCGAAAGCCUGACGCAGCGACGCCGCGUGA
rnacentral:rRNA from 1 species